ACUAGAAUGAACGGCUAAAUGAGGACCUAGCUGUCUCUUGCAUUUUACUAAUGAAACUGAUCUCUUAGUUCAAAAGCUAAGAUUUUACCACAAGACGAGAAGACCCUGUGGAGCUUAAAACCAAACUCACAACAAUGAGCCCCUGGUUUUCAGUUGGGGCAACUUCGGAGUACAAGAAAUCCUCCGACACAACCACCAAAUUAGAUUAACACAUCUAUUUCUAACCCACGACCCAGUAGUUUUUACCAAACUACCUGAUCAAUGAACCAAGUUACCCCAGGGAUAACAGCGCCAUCCCCCUCUAGAGUUCCUAUCGACAGGGGGGCUUACGACCUCGAUGUUGGAUCAGGACCACCCAAUAGUGCAACCGCUAUUGACG
rnacentral:rRNA from 1 species